ACCCGCUGAAUUUAAGCAUAUCAAUAAGCGGAGGAAAAGAAACCAACAGGGAUUGCUCUAGUAACGGCGAGUGAAGCAGCAAUAGCUCAAAUUUGAAAUCUGGCGUCUUCGACGUCCGAGUUGUAAUUUGUAGAGGAUGCUUCUGAGUGGCCACCGACCUAAGUUCCUUGGAACAGGACGUCAUAGAGGGUGAGAAUCCCGUAUGCGGUCGGAAAGGCGCUCUAUACGUAGCUCCUUCGACGAGUCGAGUUGUUUGGGAAUGCAGCUCUAAAUGGGAGGUAAAUUUCUUCUAAAGCUAAAUAUUGGCCAGAGACCGAUAGCGCACAAGUAGAGUGAUCGAAAGAUGAAAAGCACUUUGGAAAGAGAGUUAAAAAGCACGUGAAAUUGUUAAAAGGGAAGGGAUUGCAACCAGACUUGCUCGCGGUGUUCCGCCGGUCUUCUGACCGGUCUACUCGCCGCGUUGCAGGCCAGCAUCGUCUGGUGCCGCUGGAUAAGACUUGAGGAAUGUAGCUCCCUCGGGAGUGUUAUAGCCUCUUGUGAUGCAGCGAGCGCCGGGCGAGGUCCGCGCUUCGGCUAGGAUGCUGGCGUAAUGGUCGUAAUCCGCCCGUCUUGAAACACGGACCAAGGAG
rnacentral:rRNA from 1 species